rnacentral:lncRNA from 1 species
GGAAGAAGCAGGGGAAAAGGGUACAGUGAGUGACAGUGGUUAAUUCUCACAACCUCUCAAGAGUUGACCCAAGUGACCUCUGGACUCUUCCAGGCAUGAGUAAUAUAAUGUGGAAAACAUUACAUUAUGAACUGGCUCUGUUUUGAUGUUUUCAUUUUUCCAUAAUAUUUUCCAGAAUUCAAAGUAUUAUUUCAAGUCAUCACAAGGUAAAUUAGGUCAUUUUCUUCCCAUUCUGUCUUUGACAGGCAAUCUUCUACUGUGAUGGUCAUUUUGACAUGUCACCCAGCAUUCUCACAGGGUAGAUGUUGCUAAGCACUGAGAACUGUUUGCUGGAGGUUGUAGAAUCUUCUCUUCUGGAAGGUCAUUUACUAAAUAUAUCCUUUCCACACUGUAUGGCUGUGGAACAGAAGCAAAUGACACAAAACGCCAUUUAGAAGAGCAAAACCAAAUGAACACACAACAUCUACAGGGAAAGCCAGGUGAGAAAACAUUCACAUGAACACUCAAACACAAGUGGGUU